UUAAACUCCAAAGAGCAAUUAGUUCUGAUUUAGACUGAAACGAGCAUACGGAUUUCAAGAUUGGUGCCUCAAACGAGCCACUAUCUUGUAGGGACACGUUAAGAUGGAGUCCCAAGUCUUAGUAAACACAACAUUCUUCACAAUCAUGUUCACAGAAUUGCACCAAAGAAAACAGCUCAAUUUGGAAAACUUUAAGCACCAGGGAAACGACUAGGAAAUUCUUAGCCAUAUCAUUGCAUAAUGUGUCUAAUUGGUCGAACUGUGAAGGUAUUCUUACCUUCACAGCCACUAUAUUGUAGGGACACGUUAAGAUGGAGUCCCAAGUCUUAGUAAACACAACAUUCCUCACAAUCAUGUUCACAGAAUUGCACCAAAGAAAACAGCUCAAUUUGGAAAACUUUAAGCACCAUGGAAACGAUUAGGAAAUUCUUAGCCAUAUCAUUGCAUAAUGUGUCUAAUUGGUCGAACUGUGAAGGUAUUCUUACCCAUGCAUACGUUUCAAUCAUAUAUUUGGUUAUGUCAGAAUCAUGAACUUAUUUCAUUGAUCAGAGAAUCUCUGUUCAAUACCAAGUCUGCAUCAGCAACUAUGAUCACUUGCAAAUUUCACAUACUAUUUUUCACCGAAUGGUAAGUCCUCAUUUUGUCUAUCAG
rnacentral:lncRNA from 1 species